GAGUUUGAUCCUGGNCUCAGAACGAACGCUGGCGGCAUGCCUAACACAUGCAAGUCGAACGCUAUCUUAGAUAGAGUGGCGCACGGGUGAGUAACGCGUGGGAACCUGCCUUUUUCUGCGGGACAACGGUUGGAAACGACCGCUAAUACCGCAUACGCCCUACGGGGGAAAGGUCCGCCGGAGAAAGAGGGGCCCGCGUUUGAUUAGCUUGUUGGUGGGGUAAUGGCCUACCAAGGCAACGAUCAAUAGCUGGUCUGAGAGGAUGAUCAGCCACACUGGGACUGAGACACGGCCCAGACUCCUACGGGAGGCUGCAGCAGGGAAUAUUGUGCAAUGAACGAAAGUUUGACACAGCGACACCGCGUGUGGGAUGACGGAUCUAGGUUUGUAAACCACUUUCAGGAGGGAAGAAAAUGACGGUACCUCCACAAGAAGCCCCGGCCAACUUCGUGCCAGCAGCCGCGGUAAUACGAGGGGUGCUAGCGUUGUCCGGAUUUACUGGGCGUAAAGGGUACGUAGGCGUUU
rnacentral:rRNA from 1 species